rnacentral:sRNA from 1 species
AGUUGGUCCGAGGGUUGUGGGUUAUUGUUAAGCUGUUUAACAUAAGACCCUUGAACACAGGUUAACACGGAACUGAUUCUAA